rnacentral:lncRNA from 1 species
CAGAACUUAGGGACACUUCCAGGGCAUUGCCAAGCACCCUGGGCUGAUUUGAUGUAUCCACCAUGCCUCUGCCCAAAGUCCACUCUUUUAUCAUGGACGGGGUCCCAGGCCUUGACACCUGACUCCCCACCCUAGAGUGGUGCCCACACACGGAUACACUGUCUGUAUUUGCAGAAAGAGUGGAUGCAGUGGGUCGCAGCUUGUGCUGGGCACCGUGAUAACGCACGGGACAGAGAGGAGGGUACCUUCCUGGGAAGCACAUCCAUGAAGAUGCUGCCAGACCAGUACAAUGGCCUGGGGGGUUCACCCUCUGAAGCCCACCAUGGCCCAUCACAGGCUGGAGCCCAGAGCUGGCCCCAAGCAGAGAGUGGACUUGAGGUGGAGGCUGAGUAAGUCACCCAAAGGCUGGCAGGGUUUGGGCAACGGGGCCAGGAGCUGAACGGGUGAUGAGCAGGGGAGGAGGAGGUGGGAUGACUCGGCCUGCCUUCCAGGAUUUACUGGGCACCUACUAUAUUCCCAGCCUUGCUGGGUUAUGGUAUGGGGGAGGCCAGGGGAGUGGAAGGUAAGGCCCUUGGCCUUGAGGACAGUGACCUCUUCUGUGAGAUCCGUGGCUGAGGAGAAAGCACGUAAGAACUGCCCACACUCUGGGGGUGCGCUGGUCCAUCCCCACAGCUACCUGCGAGAGAACUGCCUGUGCUUCAGCAUGUGGGCAUCCUGAGACCAGAGACUGCGUUGCCAUCCUGGAGAGACCAGGCACUGGGGAGAAGGUAGUAAGUGGUGAGUGGGUGACUGGAGAGAGGAGUGAACGGGUGGGUGAAGGUGUGGAUGGGUAGAUGGAUGGAUGGAUGGAUGGACAGAUGUGCGAGUGGAUGGAGGGACACGUGGAUAGACAGAUAGGUGGAUGGAUAGAUGGAUGCAUGGACGGAUAGACAGAUGGGAGAGUGGAUGGAGGCACACAUGGAUAGACAGAUUGGCGGAUGGAUGGAUGGACAAAUUGACAGAUGCACAUGGAAAGAUGGAUAAACAGAUGGGUGCAUGGAUAGACAGAUUAGCAAAUGGAUGGCUGGCUGGAUGAAUGGAUGGAUGGAUGGACAGAUGGAUGAACAGACAGAUGAAUGCAUGGAUAGACAGAUUGGCAGAUGGAUGGAUGGAUGGAUGGACAGAUGAAUAGAUAGAUGGAUAGAUGGAUGGAUGGACAGACAGAUGGGUGGACAGAUGGAUAGGUGAAUGGACAGAUGGACAGAUGCACAGACAGGGGGAUGGAUUGCCGUGGGCGCAUGAGUGAAUGACAGGGAAGGCUGGCUGGCUGGGUGGCUGCUGGUGGUGAGCGGGCACAUGUCGGCUGAUGGAUGUGUG